GGCGGACGGGUGCUGGGUGAAGCGCCAUCACACGCCGAGUGUGACUGAAGAAGCCUCUCCAGUGAUCAGCUCAGUGGGUUAACCACGCAGCUCUGAAUGGGGGCUGAUGGGAGGCUCGCCCAGUUAAGACCCUGCGCCAGUGCGUGUGGGUGGGCCCCGCAGUGUGGGGCCGAGUCCUCCAUCACCAGCUGCCCUGAAAGCAAGGAGACUGCCAGGUGACGCGUGAUUGGCUGCAGUGUUCCCGAGGGAGGGAUUUGGUUGGCAUGCUGAUCGUGUCUUUUUGUGCACCAGCGCCCCCCUGUGGUCGAUCACAUUCCUGCAGUCUGCAUGGAUCAGUUAUCCGUUAUGUAAAUGGGGAGAACUUUCUGGCCCCCGAAAGUCCUCCAGCUCCCAGGGGGAUGGACUAUGAUGAUGUGGGGGAGUAGCCUUCUGAAAGUGGAGGAGCACUGUGAGAUUGACCGUUCUAACUUUGGAAGUGUCCACCCACAAGUUUGGAUAGAAGAACUUACAUGGACUGCUUCAUCCUACACAUCUCAAGCAAAAUGUUUUAAUGUGAUAAAACCAUAUCCCACUAUAUGAGUUAUUCAUGAAUUAAUAAUUCACCUGAAAUUAUUUACUGUGGACUCCUUAGCUCAUUCAUAAAUUAGCUCACUGGAAAUGCUGGUACUUGUAUACAUUGAGAACAAUAGCUUGCAUUCACUGACACAAUGAGACAGUUACUUUUUCUGACCAAGAUGAUGAUGUACAGCUCAAACUACAUCAAGUCAGUACUGGCCACUUCAAUAUGAAAUGAAUGCAUCAACAUUUUUGGAAUGUAAAAAUGAAAACUGUGCUUUAGCCUGUGUAAGCCUUUGCUUUAGAUUUGUUUGUAUUUACAUCAAACCCUUUCAGUUUUGGCUGCUGUGUUCAUCAUGUGCAGGUCAGAGCUGUCCAUGUUGGCUCUCUCUGAUUGACACGUGGAAGGAUAGCCAGACAGCACUUAUCCAGCAUCCCAUCAUGCUCCUUUGCAAGAUCACAUUGUUCAAGAUGCUUUUAUUGCACAUAGCUGAUGAGUUUGUUCAUCUUUCCAUUUGAGCAGAAUAUGAACAAGGCAGUAAGUCUGCACUGACUGCUUUUUCACUACUACUCAUUUCAUACUACUUUUAUUACUACUCAAACUUGUUUAAAAAAUUUUAACAAAAAAAUAUUUGACUACCUUUUUAUAUAUUUAGUUUUUAGAUAUUCGGAUGCUAUAUCUUGGAGAAUUAUACUCCUUUUGAUAGACAAGAUUUUAUAGAAAUGAAAUAUAUUUAGCUAAAAUGCUCACAAUGUAUUUCUUAGCCUUCUUAAGCAAUACCAGUAUUUUUAACAGCUGCAUGUCAAUAAGGCAUUUUUAAAUAAAGUUUAAAGACUGAUUAAA